rnacentral:rRNA from 1 species
GCGCAGCAGUCGCGAAACCUCCGCAAUGCGGGAAACCGCGACGGGGGACCCCGAGUGCCGUGGCAACGCCACGGCUUUUCCGGAGUGUAAAAAGCUCCGGGAAUAAGGGCUGGGCAAGGCCGGUGGCAGCCGCCGCGGUAAUACCGGCGGCCCGAGUGGUGGCCGCUAUUAUUGGGCCUAAAGCGUCCGUAGCCGGGCCCGUAAGUCCCUGGCGAAAUCCCACGGCUCAACCGUGGGGCUUGCUGGGGAUACUGCGGGUCUUGGGACCGGGAGAGGCGGGGGGUACCCCUGGGGUAGGGGUGAAAUCCUAUAAUCCCAGGGGGGCCGCCAGUGGCGAAGGCGCCCCGCUGGAACGGGUCCGACGGUGAGGGACGAAGGCCAGGGGAGCAAACCGGAUUAGAUACCCGCGUAGU